rnacentral:rRNA from 1 species
GACGAACGCUGGCGGCGUGCUUAACACAUGCAAGUCGAACGGAAAGGCCCUGCUUUUGUGGGGUGCUCGAGUGGCGAACGGGUGAGAAACCCGUGAGUAACCUGCCCUUGACUUUGGGAUAACUUCAGGAAACUGGGGCUAAUACCGGAUAGGAGCUCCUGCUGCAUGGUGGGGGUUGGAACGUUUCGGCGGUUGGGGAUGGACUCGCGGCUUAUCAGCUUGUUGGUGGGGUAGUGGCUUACCAAGGCUUUGACGGGUAGCCGGCCUGAGAGGGUGACCGGCCACAUUGGGACUGAGAUACGGCCCAGACUCCUACGGGAGGCAGCAGUGGGGAAUAUUGCACAAUGGGCGGAAGCCUGAUGCAGCAACGCCGCGUGCGGGAUGACGGCCUUCGGGUUGUAAACCGCUUUCGCCUGUGACGAAGCGUGAGUGACGGUAAUGGGUAAAGAAGCACCGGCUAACUACGUG